CUGUUAAACUUAGGAGCUCGUUUCAGACGGGUAACAUUACGAGUUACCUUGAGGAUGCCGUUCCCGAUUGGACAAUGCCCACUGCUAAUCACUGGGUGAUUAUAUAGCUAAGGUUUCUUUUCGGGCCGAGCGUCUGUAAGGCAACGAUGCAAGCUUCCUGUUAACUUUAGGAGCUCGUUUCAGACGGGCAAGGCAACGGCAGACUACCUGUUGGCUACCACUCCAUUAUCUUGAUAAAACGACACGAGGUGUGCUUCCUUAUAUGAUUAAACAGUAAUUUAGCUAAGUGGCGCAUUCUUCGUUAUCUCUUCCUAUUCACUCCGCAUACCUUGGCACUAAGUUUGUGUUUUUUAGUGAACAGACUAGCAUUUGAAAGACGUAAGUUGAGACCCAUCUGUGUGAGAGUUAUGUAUGGUUUUCCUCAU